ACACUCCUGCGGGAGGCAGCAGUGGGGAAUAUUGGACAAUGGGCGCAAGCCUGAUCCAGCCAUGCCGCGUGAGUGAUGAAGGCCCUAGGGUUGUAAAGCUCUUUCACCGGUGAAGAUAAUGACGGUAACCGGAGAAGAAGCCCCGGCUAACUUCGUGCCAGCAGCCGCGGUAAUACGAAGGGGGCUAGCGUUGUUCGGAUUUACUGGGCGUAAAGCGCACGUAGGCGGACUAUUAAGUCAGGGGUGAAAUCCCGGGGCUCAACCCCGGAACUGCCUUUGAUACUGGUAGUCUUGAGUUCGAGAGAGGUGAGUGGAAGUCCGAGUGUAGAGGUGAAAUUCGUAGAUAUUCGGAGGAACACCAGUGGCGAAGGCGGCUCACUGGCUCGAUACUGACGCUGAGGUGCGAAAGCGUGGGGAGCAAACAGGAUUAGAAACCCUGGUAGUCCCAUGA
rnacentral:rRNA from 1 species